rnacentral:rRNA from 1 species
AUUGAACGCUGGCGGCAGGCUUAACACAUGCAAGUCGAGCGGAGAUGAGGUGCUUGCACCUUAUCUUAGCGGCGGACGGGUGAGUAAUGCUUAGGAAUCUGCCUAUUAGUGGGGGACAACAUUCCGAAAGGAAUGCUAAUACCGCAUACGCCCUACGGGGGAAAGCAGGGGAUCUUCGGACCUUGCGCUAAUAGAUGAGCCUAAGUCGGAUUAGCUAGUUGGUGGGGUAAAGGCCUACCAAGGCGACGAUCUGUAGCGGGUCUGAGAGGAUGAUCCGCCACACUGGGACUGAGACACGGCCCAGACUCCGACGGGAGGCAGCAGUGGGGAAUAUCGGACAAUGGGCGGAAGCCUGAUCCAGCCAUGCCGCGUGUGUGAAGAAGGCCUUUUGGUUGUAAAGCACUUUAAGCGAGGAGGAGGCUACCUGGAUUAAUACUCUAGGAUAGUGGACGUUACUCGCAGAAUAAGCACCGGCUAACUCUGUGCCAGCAGCCGCCGUAACAC